CUCUUUUUGAUUUGUAUAAAAAGUAUAACCUGCCCACUGAAAUUAUUUAAAUGGCCGCAGUAUUUUGACUGUGCAAAGGUAGCAUAAUAAUUAGUUUUUUAAUUAAAAGCUUGUAUGAAUGGUUGGACGAGGUAAAUUCUGUCUUUAAAUAAUAUAUAAUAGAAUUUAAUUUUUAAGUUAAAAAGCUUAAAUAAUUUUAAAAGACGAGAAGACCCUAUAGAUCUUUAUUAUUUAAAUUAAAAAUUAAAUUUGGAAAUUUAUUUAUUUUUUUGUUAUAAUAAUUUUAUUGGGGUAAUAUAAAGAUUUAUAUAAUUCUUUAUUUUUAUUUACAUAAAUUUAUGGUUUAUUUGAUCCAAUUUUAUUGAUUAUAAGAUUAAGUUACCUUAGGGAUAACAGCGUAAUUUUUUUGAAGAGUUCUUAUCGAUAAAAAAGAUUGCGACCUCGAUGUUGGAUUAAAAGUAAUUUUAGGUGUAGAAGCUUAAAGUUUUGGUCUGUUCGACCAUUAAAUUUUU
rnacentral:rRNA from 1 species